rnacentral:sRNA from 1 species
UCCUCCUCCCCGCUCAUCCCGAGCGAAGUCGAGGGACGCUCGGUCGGUGGUUCGAGCGUCCCUCGACUUCGCUCGGGAUGAGCGGGUUUUGGGG